rnacentral:rRNA from 1 species
AACGAACGCUGGCGGCAGGCCUAACACAUGCAAGUCGAGCGAGGACUUCGGUCCUAGCGGCGGACGGGUGAGUAACGCGUGGGAACGUGCCCUCUGGUACGGAAUAGCACGGGAAACGGGGAGUAAUACCGUAUGUGGUCGAGAGACGAAAGAUGUAUCGCCAAAGGAUCGGCCCGCGUUGGAUUAGGUAGUUGGUGGGGUAAUGGCCUACGAAGCCGACGAUCCAUAGCUGGUUUGAGAGGAUGAUCAGCCACACUGGGACGGAGACACGGCCCAGACUCCUACGGGAGGCAGCAGUGGGGAAUCUUAGACAAUGGGGGAAACCCUGAUCUAGCCAUGCCGCGUGAUCGAUGAAGGCCUUAGGGUUGUAAAGAUCUUUCAGCUGGGAAGAUAAUGACUGUACCAGCAGAAGAAGCCCCGGCUAACUCCGUGCCAGCAGCCGCGGUAAGAC